rnacentral:rRNA from 1 species
CGUUCCCGGGCCUUGUACACACCGCCCGUCACACCACGAAAGUCGGUAACACCCGAAGCCAGUGGCCCAACCGCAAGGGGGAGCUGUCGAAGGUGGGAUCGGUGAUUGGGGUG